GCUACACUUAUAUCCCUGUUGGUUGGAGUACAUAGAAGAGACACAAGUGAGUGGUCUAACUAAUGCUUCUAGGGCUUCAGUAUUUCAGAGAAGGCUUAAAAGGAGAAAAGAAAUGCCCAGUGUAUGCUAAGAAACUGAUAUUUUCUGUCGCUGAUUAAGCCAGGGAAGAAGUGAAGAAAAACUUUGUUUUCUACGUAGAAGCCAACUAAGAAAUCUCUGGGUUUCCAUUCUUCAUAUCUUACAUUAUGAUUAAAUUAUUCCGUAUCAUUUUAGCUGCUCUUCUAAUCUGCACGCUAACUUUGUCUUAUCAAGGCAUCUCUCAGAAGCCUGGAGGAAGUGUGAUCAAAACAGAGAGAGCAGGUUUGUCAGGAAAUUGCUCGGAAGCAAAAGAAGGUAAGUUUCAUUACCCUUUUUACAUCUACUUAUUCACUACUGCUAUUUUUUUACCUUUUCAAU
rnacentral:lncRNA from 1 species